UCUGACAAGCAGCUUCAGGGAUCUGAGGGCAGAACAGAGACUAUCCAAAAAACUGGAUCUUGAGCACAUUUAGUGUUAAAAAAUUCACUACAGAACCCUGGUGUGACCUGUUGGUGUGUAACACUGUGAGAAGGAUCACACUUUCCUGGGUAAGAAGAUAAACAUGUGGGUACAGAUCUGCCACCCUAACUGUGUUCUUAACCUGAGCAAGCCUAUCAGCCUAUUCUGCAAGUGAAUCUCUCCUCCCCAGCACAACAGCUGCAGAAACAAAGUUAUUUAAGGGAAGAUCAUGGACUCUCCUAGAGAUCCCUGAUAUCAACCCAGCUUCUCAGUGGAUUAUUGCCACACCAAAGCCUAACCAAGAUUUGGCCAUGCCUUAUCAGCAAAGGAAGAGGUCAGCACUUGGUAUCAGCACGUGUUCAAACGUCAGGUGAUUGCUGUCAGCAGCCUGGGAACAAUUCUCCAGUGCUCUUCCUGUAAUUCUCUCAAGUGAGACACAGCAACCACUCCACCGCAGUGCACUGCAGAAUGCUCAGCAAGAUGGAUUAUGCUGGGACAGGAAAAGGGGCAGGACUUGUCAGAGAAACUACUCCUUUAUGAUUCUGACAGCCAAGUACAGCAGGCAGAAGAAAAAAUAAUACCAAGAACACUGGGAGAAGGCAGCAGGAGGCUGCUGCACUAUCAUUUGUUGUAUCUACCACCAAACACACAUUAAUAUAGCAAACUCACCCUGUUUAUGCUUUUACUCCCUAAAUCAGGAUGAUUAAUAGCAGCACUCAGCAAAAUAACAACAUUUCAGCCCUCUAAGUCUAUUUUAGCAGAGUCUUUCCAUCCCUGAUAACCUUUUCACAAAAAAGGCCUUUUCCAAACAGUUCAAAUGCAGGGUGUUGGGGUUUUUUUAAUGAUUCCUCUUAUUAUAGUCAUUUUGGUACUUCCAGUCCAUUUUUUACUGAAUGUGAGCAGCGUAUCAGAUUAAGAAAACUAAGCAGCAAAAAGAGAAGAAAAAAAAAAUACAAAAAAAAAGUCAAGGCCUUUCUAAAAAGGGAAAAAUGCUACAUAAAUACAACUUCCAAGCUUCAGAAAAUCAAAAUGUUAAACCAGUGAUACUUAAGAGUAUUACCAACCACUGUCUGGAGAUAAAUCCAGUAUAUUAUAAUCUAGAUAUUACCAGAAGCUUAUGGGAGGACAGAGUAUUACAUUCAGUUUCCAUAAAAAUGCUGGAGUAUACUUCUAAUGCAGAAUUUGUGGUGCUGUAAGAACAGCAAAGAUCAAGAGAGAACAAAAGGUGAGAAACCUCAAGGAAGCCAAUGAGAAAGACUUCUUAUCUACCAACAACAGCAGAUGACAUGAACUUUUUUGGAAAAAGGCAAAUGCUUAUGCAAAGAACUCAUGGUAGCCCAUUACCAAAACAUCAGGCAAAAUGAAGGACCUUCAGGACUCUUGCUGUUACUAGGUAGAAAGACUGAAGUUACAGAAGCCAAAAAAUAAUGUGGAGAUUGGAACACAAAACCCCCAGCAAUACAGAUUGUACACUAACAAACCUGUCUGAAAAUAAUUACAUUGGAAGUGAUGUUUUCAGGAAAAUUUAAUUUCUUUAGAAAAAUCACUGCCAAUUCAAAUGCAACAACUGUCUUGAUCCUCUGGGUAAAACAUUAAACCUGCUCCCUGAAAA